rnacentral:rRNA from 1 species
UGUGGUUAGCGGUGAAAUGCCAAUCGAACUCGGAGAUAGCUGGUUCUCCUCGAAAUAGCUUUAGGGCUAGCGUCAUGUAAUAUAGCCAACGGGGGUAGAGCUCUGUAAACGACUGGGGCGGGCAACUGUACCCACCGUUAACAAACUACGAAUACCGUUGGUGGUACCAUGGCAGUUAGAACAUCGGGGCUAAGCUCGGUGCUCAAAAGGGAAACAGCCCAGACCAUCAUCUAAGGUCCCUAAAUUAACACUAAGUGGGAAACAAGGUGAAAUUUCUUAAACAGCGAGGAUGUUGGCUUAGAAGCAGCCAUUCAUUUAAAGAGUGCGUAACAGCUCACUCGUCAAGAGAUUUUGCGUGGAAAAUGUAACGGGGCUAAAGUGUUAUACCGAAGAUAUGGAUUUCGUUAUUCCUACAGGUUUAACGGAGUGGUAGAGGAGCGUUCCUAUCGGCAGUGAAGCUCAAUCGUAAGGUUGGGUGGAGCGUUAGGAAGUGAGAAUGCUGGAAUGAGUAACCAUAAGAAAGGUGAGAAUCCUUUCGGCCGUAAGAGCGAGGUUUCCAGGGCUACUGUAAUAAUCCCUGGGUUAGUCGGGCCUAAGCCGAGGCGUAGCAGCGUAGGCGAUGGACAUCAGGUUAAUAUUCCUGAACCGGUUAUAAUUUGUAUACUGUGUACGGUAAAUUAGUCGAAGCGGAUUAUUGGUAUAUAUCCGUCCAACUUAGCGGGAACGCAAAAGGAGUGAAAGUUAAUCUACGGAUUAACGAUUUUGAUGAAAGUACUGGCUAGAAAAGCAGAUAUACGCGUGGUUAUAGCCGCCCGUACCGCAAACCAACACAGGUGCUCGAGUCGAGUAGACUCAGGCUUACGAGAGAACCUUCGCUAAGGAACUCGGCAAUACAGCGACCGUAACUUCGGAAUAAGGUCUGCCCCCACUUCGGUGGAUAUGUUGUCAGUUUCAUAGCUCUAUAAGGUGUGGUUAAAGAGUAUCUUUAAUACAUCAAUUCUUCUUGAGAUAGAACCAAGCUUUGGAACUGAAGCUCAACACAUCUAACGAUGUGGGGGCCGCAGCAAAAGAGCCCACGGAACUGUUUAUCAAAAACACAGCUCUCUGCUAACACGAAAGUGGAUGUAUAGGGGGUGACUCCUGCCCGGUGCUGGAAGGUUAAGGGGAGUGCUUUACGGUGCGAACUGAAGCCCCAGUGAACGGCGGCGGUAACUAUAACCGUCCUAAGGUAGCGAAAUUCCUUGUCAGGUAAGUUCUGACCCGCACGAAUGGAGUAAUCAUGUGGGCACUGUCUCAGCGAAGGACUCGGUGAAAGUGCAUUGGCGGUAAAGAUGCCGUCUGUCCAUACCAGGACGAGAAGACCCCAUGGAGCUUUACUACAGCUUUACAUUGAUCCGGGUUUCAACAUGUGUAGCAUAGUUGGGAGACUGCGAAGCAGAUACGCUAGUAUUUGUGGAGUCGCAAUGUGAAAUACCAACCUUGUUGUGGUCUUGAUCUCACUUGUGCCGUUAUCCGGUAUGAGGACCGUGUAUGGUGGGUAGUUUAACUGGGGCGGUUGCCUCCUAAAGAGUAGCGGAGGCGUUCAAAGGUUGGCUAACUUCGGAUGGAAAUCGAAGUGAUAGUGUAUGCGCACAAGCCAGCUUGACUGUGAGGACUACAAUCCAAGCAGAGACGAAAGUCGGAGCAAGUGACCCGCUGUAUGUACUUUGUACAAUGUAUGUGGGAACGACAGCGCACACGGAUAAAAGUUACCCUGGGGAUAACAGGCUUAUAGCGCCCAAUAGUUCACAUAGACGGCGCUGUUUGGCACCUCGAUGUCGGCUCAUCACAUCCUGGAGGGGGAGCACCUUCCAAGGGUUCGGCUGUUCGCCGAUUAAAGUGGUACGCGAGCUGGGUUCAGAACGUCGUGAGACAGUUCGGUUUAUAUCCGGUAUGGACGUUAGGAAAUUUGAGAGGAUCUGCCCCUAGUACGAGAGGACCGGGGUGGACGCACCUCUGGUGUACGGAUUGUGGCCACCUGCUGCAUUGUCCGGUAGCUAUGUGCGGACCAGAUAAGCGCUGAAAGCAUAUUAAGCGUGAAACUGACCUCAAGAUGAGAUUUCCCUAUGAGAGCCGUGAAAGACGAUCACGUUGAUAGGUGCAAGGUGGAAGUGCAGUAAUGCAUGGAGCCGAAGCAUACUAAUCGCCCCAUUGCCUUUUUAU